rnacentral:rRNA from 1 species
CUCAGGAUGAACGCUAGCUACAGGCUUAACACAUGCAAGUCGAGGGGCAUCAUGAAGGAAGCUUGCUCCUUUGAUGGCGACCGGCGCACGGGUGAGUAACGCGUAUCCAACCUUCCCUCAGUAGGGCAUAGCCCGUAGAAAUGCGGAUUAAUACCCUAUGUGGUCCGAUGAGGACAUCUGAGCUGGACUAAAGGUUUACCGCUGAGGGAUGGGGAUGCGUCUGAUUAGGUAGUCGGCGGGGUAACGGCCUACCGAGCCUUCGAUCAGUAGGGGUUCUGAGAGGAAGGUCCCCCACACUGGUACUGAGACACGGACCAGACUCCUACGGGAGGCAGCAGUGAGGAAUAUUGGUCAAUGGGCGAGAGCCUGAACCAGCCAAGUAGCGUGCAGGAAGACGGCCCUACGGGUUGUAAACUGCUUUUAUGCGGGGAUAAAGUAUGGGACUUGCCCCAUUUUGCAGGUACCGCAUGAAUAAGGACCGGCUAAUUCCGUGCC